rnacentral:lncRNA from 1 species
UUCAGCAGGCCAUAGAAAUGAACAGAAGUGUUAAAGUACAUGGACCCUAUCGCCGGACCACUGGUCAUAGUUAUAAAACUUAUAUACAAAAUCAUUGAAGCAGUCCUACGAGCCUUACUUGAGUUAUGCAUAAAUGUUGCAUCUUACUCUGUUAUUGGCGGUAGCUGCAUAUUCUUUGGAUUAAUGUUUUUAAGGUAUGGAAUGUGUGAAAACGAUUGCCCAACAAGACAUUUUACAGUUAUAGCUGGCGUAUCCGUAGCUCUGUACGCUGCUCUUCUCAUGUUGUAUAGAUUCUUCUGAACCCAGUAUGAUUUUCUGUUAUUGUUCAAUUGUUUAUUAUAAGCUUACUCGAA